UUUUAUGGAGAGUUUGAUCCUGGCUCAGGAUGAACGCUGGCGGCGUGCCUAAUACAUGCAAGUCGAGCGAACAGACGAGGAGCUUGCUCCUCUGACGUUAGCGGCGGACGGGUGAGUAACACGUGGAUAACCUACCUAUAAGACUGGGAUAACUUCGGGAAACCGGAGCUAAUACCGGAUAACAUGUUGAACC
rnacentral:rRNA from 1 species